GCACAGAGGAAACCUGCCUUACUUCUGCAGACAUUACCAUCAAAAACACUGUCAUUGUCCUAGGUACCCUUCCCCAACGAGUUCUUCUGUACUUCUGAAAACUUAUUUAGCUGACGGGAAGACACAGGUACCAAUCAGAAACUACUAUUCUGCAGCUCUGUCAUUUCCACUCCAGAGAAGAAAAAUGUCACAAGCCCUGGAUUGUGAAGUAACAAGAUGAGCAAUACAGAAUGAGCCAGAGAGAGACAAGAUCAAGGACCCAGGGCCACCCCAAAAGCUGGUGUGACCCCAUGUCUUUCUCGUAUGAGGCUUCUUUGUUUCAGUUAGUGUCACCUUCUCGGCAAGAAUGGACCAAUGAAAGAGGGGGAAAAUGGGUAUAAUUAUCUGAGACCACUCUGGGGAAAGGAGUUACAAUGAUGAACAAAGAAGACUAUAUUUGAGGAGUGAAGAAUACAGACAAGUAAGCAGACAAAUACAAGAGUGUGAUAAACCCUACCACGAGCCAACGACCAGGUGCUUUGGGAACCUAAAGACAGACAUAUGCUUGGAAUGAGGAGUCAGAAAAAUGUUCCAGGGGAAAUGGCAUCCUUAAAACCAAAAGGAUUUGAGAAGAAUUCAUCAUGGCUGAUGCACUGUCUGUAGGUGGAGAAUUGUGAGGCCUAACGCCAGAGACACACACAGAAAAAUUAUAAAGAAACUUCUGACCCCACACUGAAGAGCUUAAACUUGACCAUGAGGCCAAAGAGAAGAGUGACUAAAGAGGUUGGGAUUAGGAUGCAGCAAGGUCUGAUUUGAAUUUGAGAAAGAUCUGUCUUGCUACAUAUUACAUGGAAUGUGCUAAGACAUGAAAACAACUGGGCACCUGGUGCUGGGAACUCAGAUAGGAGUCUAUGACUGUAACCCAGGAAAGGGUUAGCCUAAAAUAGUAGCAGUAGACUAGAGGCAAGUGGAUAGAAUCAAUUUGGAGAACACGUCAGUGGUAGAGUCUAUAAGGGUAGGAGGAAGGGCCUAAAGCUGGAGGCUAAAUAUGGUUUUUUAUCAAAGUCUGAGGACCUGGGGAUGUUCAGCUAUUCACAACAGGGUCUCCUGUGGGCUCCUUCUGUUUGCAGCCUGUUUCACCUGCU